UGCCACAAGCAUUCUACAGUGAACAAAAUUAUAAACGCAACACUUUUGUUUUUGAACCCAUUUUUCAUGAGCUGAACUCAAUGAUCUACACCUGUAAUAUGCCACACCUGUGAGCUGAAUGGAUUAUCUCGGCAAAGGAGAAGUGCUCACUAACACAGAUUUAGACAGAUUUGUGAACAAUAUUUGAGGGAAAUAGGCCUUUUGUGUACAUAGAAAAAAGUCUUAGAUCUCUGAGUUCAGCUCAUGAAAAAUGGGGGCAAAAACAAAAGUGUUGCGUUUAUAAUUUUGUUCAGUGUAUGUAUGUGAGCA